AGAGUUUGAUCCUGGCUCAGAUUGAACGCUGGCGGCAUGCCUUACACAUGCAAGUCGAACGGCAGCAUGAUCUAGCUUGCUAGAUUGAUGGCGAGUGGCGAACGGGUGAGUAAUACAUCGGAACGUGCCCUGUAGUGGGGGAUAACUAGUCGAAAGAUUAGCUAAUACCGCAUACGACCUGAGGGUGAAAGUGGGGGACCGCAAGGCCUCAUGCUAUAGGAGCGGCCGAUGUCUGAUUAGCUAGUUGGUGAGGUAAAGGCUCACCAAGGCGACGAUCAGUAGCUGGUCUGAGAGGACGAUCAGCCACACUGGGACUGAGACACGGCCCAGACUCCUACGGGAGGCAGCAGUGGGGAAUUUUGGACAAUGGGGGCAACCCUGAUCCAGCAAUGCCGCGUGUGUGAAGAAGGCCUUCGGGUUGUAAAGCACUUUUGUCCGGAAAGAAAUCGCACUUACUAAUAUUAGGUGUGGAUGACGGUACCGGAAGAAUAAGGACCGGCUAACUACGUGCCAGCAGCCGCGGUAAUACGUAGGGUCCAAGCGUUAAUCGGAAUUACUGGGCGUAAAGCGUGCGCAGGCGGUUGUGCAAGACCGAUGUGAAAUCCCCGGGCUUAACCUGGGAAUUGCAUUGGUGACUGCACGGCUAGAGUGUGUCAGAGGGGGGUAGAAUUCCACGUGUAGCAGUGAAAUGCGUAGAGAUGUGGAGGAAUACCGAUGGCGAAGGCAGCCCCCUGGGAUAACACUGACGCUCAUGCACGAAAGCGUGGGGAGCAAACAGGAUUAGAUACCCUGGUAGUCCA
rnacentral:rRNA from 1 species